UACGAAGGGGGCUAGCGUUGCUCGGAAUCACUGGGCGUAAAGGGCGCGUAGGCGGUCUUUUAAGUCGGGGGUGAAGGCCUGUGGCUCAACCACAGAAUUGCCUUCGAUACUGGAAGACUUGAGACCGGAAGAGGACAGCGGAACUGCGAGUGUAGAGGUGAAAUUCGUAGAUAUUCGCAAGAACACCAGUGGCGAAGGCGGCUGUCUGGUCCGGUUCUGACGCUGAGGCGCGAAAGCGAGGGGAGCAAACAGG
rnacentral:rRNA from 1 species